rnacentral:lncRNA from 1 species
CACCUGUAACUCACGUGACCCUGAUUAUUAUUGAAACGAGAACGAGGGCGUCGUGCCUUUAUAAGACUGCGUUAAUGUUUCCGUGGAGUUAUCCCUUCCGUUGUUGUUUAUUGCUUGUUAAACAUGGCGUCAUUUGCAAAGGUGGUUGUGUGUCUCCUCAUUGCUUGUGUCUGUAAUGCAUUCUGUUUUCCGAAGAGAGAUGUGAACUUUAAGGCCUCUGCAGUUGACCGCCAAAGUGAUGAUGUGGUUGUCACCACAACACCCGUUCCCCACAACCAGACCACAUCUGCCCAUACUUCAGCUGGUGGUGGUGCAAGUGAAGAUGCUGUGGCUACUACCCCAGCACCUAAUCCACACAACCAGACCACUUCUGCACAAACUGAAGUUACUGAUGGAGCCAGUGAAGAUGCUGUGGACCGCCAAAGUGAUGAUGUGGUUGUAGCCACAACACCCGAUCACCACAACCAGACACAACAAUCAAUCCAGACACAACAAUCUGCCCAUACUUCAGCUAGUGGUGGUGCAAGUGAAGAUGCUGUGGCUACUACCCCAGCACCUAAUCCACACAACCAGACAACUUCUGCACAAACUGAAGUUACUGAUGGAGCAAGUGAAGAUGCUGUGGCUACUACCCCAACACUAAAUCCCCCAACUACAUCUGACCACACUGCAGCUACCGAUGAUGCAAGUGAGGGUGCUGUGGCUGCCCAAACUGGAACUACUGUAUCCCAUACGACUGAAGUCUGAUUCGACUGCUCCUCUGGUCACAAUGACCUGAGUCACUGUCUGGACUUUUUGCCUCUACAUGUUGACUGCAAUAAAGGACAGAUUUGUUUUUUGAAUCA